rnacentral:rRNA from 1 species
UGGGGAAUAUUGCGCAAUGGGGGAAACCCUGACGCAGCGACGCCGUGUGAGUGAUGAAGGCUUUCGGGUCGUAAAGCUCUGUCGGAUGGGACGAAUAAGGACUGUGUGAAUAAUGCAGUCCGAUGACGGUACCGUCGAAGGAAGCACCGGCUAACUCCGUGCCAGCAGCCGCGGUAAUACGGAGGGUGCAAGCGUUGUUCGGAAUUAUUGGGCGUAAAGAACGUGUAGGCGGGCCUGUGUGUCAGAUGUGAAAGCCCUCGGCUCAACCGAGGAAGUGCAUCUGAAACUGCAGGUCUUGAGUACGAGAGAGGAGAGUGGAAUUCCCAGUGUAGAGGUGAAAUUCAUAGAUAUUGGGAAGAACACCGGCGGCGAAAGCGGCUCUCUGGCUCGAUACUGACGCUGAGACGUGAAAGCGUGGGUAGCAAACAGG